rnacentral:rRNA from 1 species
UGACCCCAGGUCAGGCGGGACUA